rnacentral:rRNA from 1 species
UACGUAGGUGACAAGCGUUGUCCGGAUUUACUGGGCGUAAAGAGCGCGCAGGCGGUCGUUUCAAGUCGAGUGUGAAAGCCCCCGGCUCAACUGGGGAGGGUCACUCGAUACUGAUCGACUCGAAGGCAGGAGAGGGUAGUGGAAUUCCCGGUGUAGUGGUGAAAUGCGUAGAUAUCGGGAGGAACACCAGUGGCGAAGGCGACUACCUGGCCUGUUCUUGACGCUG